rnacentral:rRNA from 1 species
UACGUAGGGUGCAAGCGUUGUCCGGAAUUAUUGGGCGUAAAGAGCUCGUAGGCGGUUUGUCGCGUCUGCUGUGAAAACCCGAGGCUCAACCUCGGGCCUGCAGUGGGUACGGGCAGACUAGAGGUGCGGUAGGGGAGAUUGGAAUUCCUGGUGGUAGCGGUGGAAUGCGCAGAUAUCAGGAGGAACACCAAUGGCGAAGGCAGAUCUCUGGGCCGUAACUGACGCUGAGGAGCGAAAGCAUGGGGAGCGAACAGG